rnacentral:rRNA from 1 species
GACAGAGGGGGCAAGCGUUGCUCGGAAUCACUGGGCGUAAAGGGUGCGUAGGUGGCGCCGUAAGUCGGGUGUGAAAUUUCGGAGCUUAACUCCGAAACUGCAUUCGAUACUGCGGUGCUUGAGGACUGGAGAGGAGACUGGAAUUCAUGGUGUAGCAGUGAAAUGCGUAGAGAUCAUGAGGAAGACCAGUGGCGAAGGCGACACGCUGGGCCGUACCUGACGCUAAAGCGCGACAGCAUGGGGAGCAAACGGG